UCCACUUGCCGUAAACCUAUCCGCCUCCCUCCACUUCUCGCGGGGCGAUCCUCGGCUGUUGGCGAGCAGUGGCUCCAUCGCCGGUUACCAGUGGUGGCCGGUGACGCAGCUCACAUUGGCACCUCCCUCUAGUCGAGCGGGGACGUCUCAAAGCAACCAAGAUGAAUUUCGGCUACUCCAUGACGUGGAGGUUUCUUGAAGGGCUGCGGCGGCGAGUUGGAACACAGGGGUGCGGCCCCGAGUUGGAGAACAGGGGGCUCGGCCGAGGAAAUACGGGCCAGAGAUUCGGGCUCCUAUUGCAAGGGCGUCGGCACAAGAUGACAUCAGCAAGAAGACAAGCGUGUGCACAUUAGCAGCAAGAACCAGAACAUCAUGAAUAUCGGCAGGUGUUAAUUCCUCCCCUGUUGGUGAUUUGUAUGAUGUCCACUACUCAUUCUCAUGCCAUGCUUUAAAUUAAACUUUUGGUUGUAAAGAUUGAUUUGCAUGUUCUGUAGAGUAUCAAUCUUUUGAGAGAUCCUGGUAAAUUCAGGUGGUGCAGCUCAAUGAAUGCAUACUAAAGUGACUCCUGCUAGAAUUGCUUGUCUUGAUUUGAAAUUUCGGAAGACAGAAAUGCAAAUGGGUGUUCCAGUCCUUGCAAUAGACCAAGGGAACUAGAGAAGAUCUGAAAUCUGACAUAAAAAGACAGCGAAUUGAGGACUUCUCAAGGCCAGUGCCAACACUGUAUCAACCAAAGAAAUUUAUGAUAUCUUGCUGAAGGCAUGCUUUCAUUAUUCAAGCAGAAUCUGAUCUUAUUCCUAUUUUAUAUUUGAUUUUGGAUAUAGUUUCAGAGCACUAAAUCACAGGCUAUUCAUGUACUUGCUUUAACUGGCUCACCGAAAUAUUCUACUUAGCAGCUUGUAGCUUUGUUUAUUCAACAUGCGGAAUUUUAUACCACUUAACAUAAUUGACUCUAACUAAGUUAAUAGUUAUUUCCUUCUCAUUACCAGCAUGUAUUAAUUCCUCCCCCGUUUUACUUGUACAACUACAGCUUAUUGAAAGAUAUUGCUACAUCAUACUUCUGAUAAGAUUUUGAUUCUAUUUUUUUUGCUUCACAUGAUAUGUCUCUGAGGCAACCAAUAAGAGUUUCAAACGACUGGAGUCCAUGUUAGUAGUUUCUGUCCCAUACAUCAGCAAGACUCGCCGUAUUCGCAUCAGAUCCCAUACAUCCACAAGACUUGCCAUAUUUGCAGGAGUAGAAUAUCUUCUUUUGAAGCAAGAUUGUAAAUUGUCUACUCCAUAUAUGCAGGACUAGGUAGAAUAUGAUAUUUUGAUGCAAGAUUGUAAACUGUUUACUCUUCAGAUGAUUUUCAUGUAUGAGAUGUUGGUUCCAAUAAUAAAUAUUUAAUUCUUUGUCACACAAUGCA